UCUCUAUUUCACUUAUUUCUGCUCUGAUCUUUAUGUUUUCUUUCCUUCUAUUAACUUUGGGUUUUGUUCGUUCUUAUUCCUCUAAUUGCUUUAGAUGUAAGGUUAGGUUGAGGAAAGAACCCCAUUUUAAAUAUCUAUGUGUGCAUCCCAGUAUCUAGAAUAUACCUUUCAUGCAGUGUUAUUUACUGAAAUGAAUUAAUGGGUACUGUUGGAUUAUGUGGUUCCUUUUCACAUUAAGGGGGAUUGGAAAACUAUAACAUCCCAAUCUCAUCCUCGCUAAUUAGAUAAAAAUUUGUGACUAAUUAUUUUUUGGCUAGAAAAACACCUCUGCCAUUUACAGAUCUGAGCCACCCCUAUCAAGGGCAAGAGCAGCACAUAAAGAGCACAUCUUUCCAAGGGACAGAUGACUGGAACCCUCCUAGGAAGUCCUGGCUGAGCAAGAUUGGAAGUCCUAGUUCUCGCAUUGACCGCACGAACUUUUCCAAUGAAAAAACCAUCUCUAAACUUGAAUACUCUAAUUUUAGUAUUCGAUACUAAUAGGAGAGAAAUUAAAAUUGUAAUGCUUAUACUGUACAAUAGAAUAGACUGUAUUCUUAAAUCUGUAUACUAGUGACAGUAGUAGAAUAGGGUAAAAAAAGAAACUUUCUGUUCCAAAAGCUGCAACAUUACGUUACUAAAAAUGGUUGACACUGAAAUAGUUUUACUCAACAAUGUUUUUAACAAGCCAAAUUUAGCAUUCUAAAAUUUUAAAUGUCAUUACAAAAUGUUUAAUAUGAAUAUUUUAUUUAAACUCGUCUCAUGGAAUCUUUAAUUCUAAUGAAUAUUAUGACAUACAUGUUAUUUGGCUGGACAUAAAAUAAUAAGUUAACCACUUAAAAAUUAUUUUUGGGUAUUAUCUGAAUUGAGUUCUAAAAUCUCUGAAUAAUAAUUUGUUGUUAAAGUUGAGUACUUCGUUUAACAAUAGCAAAAUAACCAGUAGUUUGAUAUAAAUGUAUAUGAUGAUCAGCAUAGCCUUAAAAUCAAUAAAGAGUUAACUUUAAACUCUGA